AAAUACCUCAUGUAAGUGUACGGCGUUUCGGUGUCCAUUGCUGGGUCCUUCAUCGAAUGAUUGAUGUACUGUGCACGACUGCUCUACUGUGUCGUACCGUCGAGGCAUAGUUGCACGGCUUGACACGGUACUUGACGCAUCAUACGCCGAUUUGCCCAAACACGCGUGCAAAUACACACACACACGGCCUUCCUGCUUGUUUUUCGUUAUUUUCCCGCAUCAACCGCAGGGUGGCUGCAAUUUAAAGAGAUACCCGCGGUUGUCGUGCUGCUACUGCUGCUGCUACUGCCGGAGGUGAGUACCUUCAAGAGCUGAGAGCAUUACUAGGACAUGUGUACGGUAGGCAUCUUGGAAACUUGUGUACGGCAUGGGCCCGGCGGUGCUGCAAAAGGAAUGCUCCCCGUACGGUUGUGGGUGCGGCGGAGGUGAAGCCAGUGCGGCAUCGGCCGCUCCGGUCAUCUUGAACCGGUGGCGGUGGUGGUGGUGGUGGAUGUGCUGUGCAUGGAAUGGGUGGUGGUGGUAUUUUCGACCCGGCCCCUGAGGGCUAUUGGCUGUGGGUUCGAGACCCACAAGGAUCGAGGGGUAAUGAUCCACUGCUUUAGCUUUGCGCAGUAUUGUCAAUGCAAGCAUCAUCGCGCGUUGGAGCGCCUGUAACGAGUUUUCAGCUAAAACUACGUUUUUUUGGAUUUUCGCUGAGCAUAUAAGGCCCAGAGGCUCCACCGUCGCUUAUAAUGUCUUGCAGAUGCGCCCGAUGCGCCGGUGCACAGCUCAGCUCAGUCAGGUCCCUGACCUCGCGUAAUCUGCUCGUGAGACAAUUGUUUAGGCUUCAAAGCCGUUUACAAGCAACGGGCUUUCCACAAAUGGCGCCAUUGCCGUGAAAAACCUGCCUUGGCUGCUUCACAUUAUUAGCUUGGUUUGACAACGCUUUAUGGUGCCCUUGGAGGCCUACCUUAAUUCUCGCAGGGCCAUGGACGUAUCCAGUUGGGACGUGGACUGGUAGGUGUGAGGUGCCUCAGGGUGUAUGGCCCGCAUGUGGGGUGAUGUACGGCAAGCAGCGGGCGUACGGGUCCCAAACAGACUACCUGCUUAGGGUUUAAACCCUUAACCCUAAGUUACUAAAACCCUUACACUAACCCUGGAACCCUAGGACUACCUGCAGCAGCUGCUUGGAUCCCGGGUGCACAACAGCAGCAGGGCCAACAUCAACAGCAGCAGCAACAGGCGGACAAGUCAGGGAACCCAGGCGACCACCCCGGCAAUUAACACACCCACCCGGCGGGUUCUUGAGGAGUGCAGUCCCGCCAUCAACGCCGGCGGUGUCGUGCGCGGCGGAGUCCACGACAGCAGGGCACAAGUGGAGGCGGCCUUCACGAUGAUGACCGCCAUGGAACAGCCGAUGCAGGAGCAGCUACUGUCGUACUUGUCAUCUCACGCUGCUGGUGUGGGUUCACCGAACACGGACCUUGCCGUACGCGUGCCAAUCAUCAGCUUCGUACACCGGGUUAAGAGCUCCCAGCGCGGAAAUGGCCGGGGAGCUGCAGUGCAGGUGAGUCGACCGGAACCCGGGCCCUCGGAUUGCGGAUCAAAGUUC
rnacentral:lncRNA from 1 species